rnacentral:rRNA from 1 species
CCUACGGGAGGCAGCAGUGAGGAAUAUUGGUCAAUGGGCGCAAGCCUGAACCAGCCAAGUCGCGUGCAGGAUGACUGCCCUACGGGUUGUAAACUUCUUUUAUAAAAGGAUAAAGUGAGGCACGUGUGCCUUUUUGUAUGUACUUUAUGAAUAAGGAUCGGCUAACUCCGUGCCAGCAGCCGCGGUAAUACGGAGGAUCCGAGCGUUAUCCGGAUUUAUUGGGUUUAAAGGGAGCGUAGAUGGGUUGUUAAGUCAGAUGUGAAAGGUUGCGGCUCAACCGCAAAAUUGCAAUUGAUACUGGCAGUCUUGAGUACAGUUGAGGUAGGCGGAAUGUGUGGUGUAGCGGUGAAAUGCUUAGAUAUCACGAAGAACUCCGAUUGCGAAGGCAGCUUACUAAACUGCCACUGACAUUGAUGCACGAAAGUGUGGGUAGCAAACAGGAUUAGAUACCCCAGUAGUC